rnacentral:rRNA from 1 species
GUGCCAGCAGCGGCGGUAAUACGUAGGGUGCGAGCGUUGUCCGGAAUUAUUGGGCGUAAAGGGCUCGUAGGCGGUUUGUCGCGUCGGGAGUGAAAACCCAGGGCUCAACCCUGGGCCUGCUUCCGAUACGGGCAGACUAGAGGUAUGCAGGGGAGAACGGAAUUCCUGGUGUAGCGGUGAAAUGCGCAGAUAUCAGGAGGAACACCGGUGGCGAAGGCGGUUCUCUGGGCAUUACCUGACGCUGAGGAGCGAAAGUGUGGGAGCGAACAGGAUUAGAUACCCUGGUAGUCCACACCGUAAACGUUGGGCGCUAGGUGUGGGACUCAUUCCACGAGUUCCGUGCCGCAGCUAACGCAUUAACGCCGCCCGCUGGGACGUACGGCCGC